rnacentral:rRNA from 1 species
UGGGGAAUAUUGCACAAUGGGCGCAAGCCUGAUGCAGCGACGCCGCGUGAGGGAUGACGGCCUUCGGGUUGUAAACCUCUUUCAGCUCCGACGAAGCGCAAGUGACGGUAGGAGCAGAAGAAGCACCGACCAACUACGUGCCAGCAGCCGCGGUAAUACGUAGGGUGCAAGCGUUGUCCGGAAUUACUGGGCGUAAAGAGCUCGUAGGCGGUUUGUCGCGUCGUCUGUGAAAUUCUGCAGCUUAACUGCAGGCGUGCAGGCGAUACGGGCAGACUUGAGUACUACAGGGGAGACUGGAAUUCCUGGUGUAGCGGUGAAAUGCGCAGAUAUCAGGAGGAACACCGGUGGCGAAGGCGGGUCUCUGGGUAGUAACUGACGCUGAGGAGCGAAAGCGUGGGUAGCGAACAGG